rnacentral:rRNA from 1 species
UGCCAGCCGCCGCGGUAAUACGGAGGGUGCAAGCGUUGUUCGGAAUUAUUGGGCGUAAAGCGCGUGUAGGCGGUUCGUUAAGUCUGAUGUGAAAGCCCGGGGCUCAACCCCGGAAGUGCGUUGGAUACUGGUAGUCUUGAGUUCGAGAGAGGUGAGUGGAAUUCCGAGUGUAGAGGUGAAAUUCGUAGAUAUUCGGAGGAACACCAGUGGCGAAGGCGACCGCCUGGCCAGAUACUGACGCUGAGGUGCGAAAGCGUGGGGAGCAAACAGGAUUAGAUA